rnacentral:rRNA from 1 species
AACGAACGCUGGCGGCAUGCCUAACACAUGCAAGUCGAACGAGACCUUCGGGUCUAGUGGCGCACGGGUGCGUAACGCGUGGGAAUCUGCCCUUGGGUUCGGAAUAACUUCGGGAAACUGAAGCUAAUACCGGAUGAUGACGUAAGUCCAAAGAUUUAUCGCCCAAGGAUGAGCCCGCGUAGGAUCAGCUAGUUGGUGAGGUAAAGGCUCACCAAGGCGACGAUCCUUAGCUGGUCUGAGAGGAUGAUCAGCCACACUGGGACUGAGACACGGCCCAGACUCCUACGGGAGGCAGCAGUGGGGAAUAUUGGACAAUGGGCGAAAGCCUGAUCCAGCAAUGCCGCGUGAGUGAUGAAGGCCUUAGGGUUGUAAAGCUCUUUUGCCCGGGAUGAUAGUGACAGUACCGGGAGAAUAAGCUCCGGCUAACUCCGUGCCAGCAGCCGCGGUAAAGUGACUACUG